CAUGGAUCCUCUGCCUGAGAUGGACUACGGUUAGAAUCUCUGAUCGACCUAAUCUACAAUCAAUGUCAGAGAAGAUAUGAUUGUGCUUGCUUGUAAUCCCAGUUUUGGGAAGUGAGGGACAGUCACAGCUCUGGGCUCUCUGCCUCUCUAUCCCUACUUGGCAUAAUUUCCAAAGUGCAUCGCUUUGAUAGGAACAAAACCUGAGGAAUUUCCACCCACUAAAAUAAGGAUAACUAGAAGUUUUACCUCACCAGGGAAGACGUGUUAACUUCAACAACGUCAUGAUUGACCCGCAGAGCAUCACCGGAGUCCUGAUGAUUGCCCCGACUUCCACUCCUUUCUUAGCAGGAGUUGGAAGAGAAGGAGUCGUGCUACAUUGUCCAAGUUAACUCCAAACUCCUAAAGCCCAAGAGAUCCCGCUGUCAGCCUCCCAGGGAACUUGGGCUGCGGCUUGUCACUGAGUCCAGCAACACAAACUUUAAAAAAGAAGAAAAUGAAGUACAAAACCAGUCUUCACGUUGUCUUUCCUUCAACUCAAAAGCAAAACUCAUCAAAUAGAUUCAGGGUUUUAAGAAAGACUAUAGGUUUCAGAAUAAGACCCAUAACACAACUAAAUUCAAAUUUUAACUUUGUCACUCAGGAUAAAGUUACACACACAAUACUUUCCAUUUCUAAGCCUCUCAUUCUUCAAGAGAAAAAGUCGAUGUAUGUAAAAGAAUUUCUAGGGAUUAAAAAUAAUGUUCAUUGUUAAAACACUAGCCUGCAUCUUUAGGCCAGAUCUCACAGCCUGAAAGAAAUGGGCCACACAUCCCUGCCGCUCUGUCUAGGACAGAGGGAUGUGACUUGACAGCCCUCCACCUAUGUAUGGUCCUUGCCUCUUUUAUUUGGUUUUUUGUCAGGCCCAUCGUGUGAAACUCAAUCACAGAAUAUGAAACUUUGAACCCUACCGAACCCGAAUUUAUAAAAGCCUUAGUAAAGGGAAGAAAUCUAAAGGUUAGGCUUUUGCUUGUUUGUUUGUUUGUCUAUUGUCCUGGAACUCAUGUUAUAGACCCUGCUGGUUGUGAAUUUACACAGAGAUCCGCCUGCCUUUGCUUCUCCAGUGCCGAAUUAAAAGUGUGCGCCAGCGAUGCCCAGCUAAGGUUGCUUCUGAGGAGGCUUCUCUGGCCUCUCCCAUUCCUGUCAUGUUCCCCCUCCCUCUAUUUUAGUGAAUUUUCUUAAUGAAGUUUCUCUCCAGGUUUUAGUGGAAGCCUAGGGACACACCAUGUUUAGAUCAUUUCCGUAUAACAUAGUAUUUCUGCCUAAAUCUCUCCCUCCCAUUU